GACGUAGGGCGCAGGCGUUGUCCGGAUUUAUUGGGCGUAAAGAGCUCGUAGGCGGCCUGUCGCGUCGACCGUGAAAACCCGCAGCUCAACUGCGGGCUUGCGGUCGAUACGGGCAGGCUAGAGUGUGGUAGGGGAGAUCGGAAUUCCUGGUGUAGCGGUGAAAUGCGCAGAUAUCAGGAGGAACACCGGUGGCGAAGGCGGAUCUCUGGGCCAUUACUGAUGCUGAGGAGCGAAAGCGUGGGGAGCGAACAGG
rnacentral:rRNA from 1 species